GACGAACGCUGGCGGCGUGCUUAACACAUGCAAGUCGAACGGAAAGGCCCUGCUUUUGUGGGGUGCUCGAGUGGCGAACGGGUGAGUAACACGUGAGUAACCUGCCCUUGGCUUUGGGAUAACUUCAGGAAACUGGGGCUAAUACCGGAUAGGAGCUCCUGCUGCAUGGUGGGGGUUGGAAAGUUUCGGCGGUUGGGGAUGGACUCGCGGCUUAUCAGCUUGUCGGUGGGGUAGUGGCUUACCAAGGCUUUGACGGGUAGCCGGCCUGAGAGGGUGACCGGCCACAUUGGGACUGAGAUACGGCCCAGACUCCUACGGGAGGCAGCAGUGGGGAAUAUUGCACAAUGGGCGGAAGCCUGAUGCAGCAACGCCGCGUGCGGGAUGACGGCCUUCGGGUUGUAAACCGCUUUCGCCUGUGACGAAGCGUGAGUGACGGUAAUGGGUAAAGAAGCACCGGCUAACUACGUG
rnacentral:rRNA from 1 species